rnacentral:lncRNA from 1 species
UAGAAACAAAAAUGUGUUUAACUGUAGUUACUGUAUUUUAAAUGAUGAUUAUUCAAGGUUUUAUCAUUUUUUUUUAAAGAUUCUAGUUAUAAUGUUUCUGUUAUUUCAAUCCACAUAAUUAAUGGAAAAUUCACUUUAUUGGGGGGAAAAUAAAGAAACACCAAAAAAAAAAAAAAAAAGGAAAAGGCCCCUUAAAACAAUUAAGCCCAAUUAAGUGUUUUUUUUUUUUUUUUUUUUUGCUUGCUUACUGAAGCUCCUAAGAUGAGGCCCUUUCCCCCGUCAGGCUCUUCUCUGAGAGAUAAUUACUUCACUCCUGUCUUCUUCUCCUCUCUCAGACAGCCUCAUGCCAUCAGCCGUCCUGAGGAAACAUGGUUACGCGGUAUUAACGAGACGCUCGCUCUCUCCGUCUGUCGGCCUCAUGAGAUUACGGCGUACGGUAACGUCGUUAGGACGGCCGAUGGGCCGAGAGAUUAUCAGUUACUGCUCGUGAUGAGCUCGGACAGGAGGAUGUGGGCCUGACUCUACCCUUCGCCUAGGCCUCUAAUUUAGCCGCAGCCAUCCAGGCCCGUUCCUGGUGGAUGAUUUAAGGCGUUACGUGCUUCAGUACGUCUUUGGCUGCAUCUACAAUGAGGUCAUCUAAACAGUGGAGGUCAAAUCACACUGCAUACCGAGGAAAUGUCUACAAAGGGACGCAAACCAGUAAUAUUCUGGGUUCCACAAAGGAUAAACAGUAUCCAGCCAAAACCAGCAGCAGCUCAGUGGGCGUGGCUUGUUGGGAAACAUAGUUGCCUUUAGUUUUGUUUGUGUUCUUAUGUUGGAUGUUGGCUUGCAUGACCUCAUCUUGUACGGGUGUGUAUUUGUGUCGUGGAAAAUUGCAUAAGCUUUUGCUUUAAGCUUUUGAUUUUGAAUUUGCAAGGUUGUCUGUUCACAGAAAAAGCUGAAAAUUCAGUAAUUAAGUAAAGAAAAAUUUAUACAAAUUGUAAUAAAAAAAUAGUUUUUUUUUUUUUUACUAAAUUG